rnacentral:rRNA from 1 species
UACAGAGGUCCCGAGCGUUGUUCGGAUUCACUGGGCGUAAAGGGUGCGCAGGUGGGUUGGUAAGUUUGGUGUGAAAGCUUCGGGCUUAACCCGGAAAUGGCAUUGAAAACUACUGAUCUGGAGGAUUGGAGGGGGGACUGGAAUUCUUGGUGUAGCAGUGAAAUGCGUAGAUAUCAAGAGGAACACCAGUGGCGAAGGCGAGUCCCUGGACAAUACCUGACACUGAGGCACGAAAGCCAAGGGAGCAAACAGG